rnacentral:rRNA from 1 species
UCCGUAGGCGGGCAAUUAAGUCAGAGGUGAAAUCCCACAGCUCAACUGUGGAACUGCCUUUGAUACUGGUUGUCUUGAGUUAUAGUGAAGUAGAUAGAAUAUGUAGUGUAGCGGUGAAAUGCAUAGAUAUUACAUAGAAUACCGAUUGCGAAGGCAGUCUACUAACUGUAUACUGACGCUAAUGGACGAAAGCGUGGGGAGCGAACAGGAUUAGAUCCCCUGGUAGUCC